UGGGGAAUAUUGCACAAUGGGGGAAACCCUGAUGCAGCGACGCCGCGUGAGCGAAGAAGGCUUUCGAGUCGUAAAGCUCUGUCCUAUGAGAAGAUAAUGACGGUAUCAUAGGAGGAAGCCCUGGCUAAAUACGUGCCAGCAGCCGCGGUAAUACGUAUGGGGCGAGCGUUGUCCGGAAUUAUUGGGCGUAAAGGGUACGUAGGCGGUUAGAAAAGUCUGAAGUGAAAGGCAGUGGCUCAACCAUUGUAGGCUUUGGAAACUGUUUAACUUGAGUGCAGAAGGGGAGAGUGGAAUUCCAUGGGUAGCGGUGAAAUGCGUAGAUAUAUGGAGGAACACCGGUGGCGAAAGCGGCUCUCUGGUCUGUAACUGACGCUGAGGAUCGAAAGCGUGGGGAGCGAACAGG
rnacentral:rRNA from 1 species